rnacentral:rRNA from 1 species
GAUGAACGCUGGCGGCGUGCCUAAUACAUGCAAGUCGAGCGAACAGACGAGGAACUUUCUCCUCUGACGUUAGCGGCGGACGGGUGAGUAACACGUGGAUAACCUACCUAUAAGACUGGGAUAACUUCGGGAAACCGGAGCUAAUACCGGAUAAUAUAUUGAACCGCAUGGUUCAAUAGUGAAAGACGGUUUUGCUGUCACUUAUAGAUGGAUCCGCGCCGCAUUAGCUAGUUGGUAAGGUAACGGCUUACCAAGGCGACGAUGCGUAGCCGACCUGAGAGGGUGAUCGGCCACACUGGAACUGAGACACGGUCCAGACUCCUACGGGAGGCAGCAGUAGGGAAUCUUCCGCAAUGGGCGAAAGCCUGACGGAGCAACGCCGCGUGAGUGAUGAAGGUCUUCGGAUCGUAAAACUCUGUUAUUAGGGAAGAACAAAUGAGUAAGUAACUAUGCACGUCUUGACGGUACCUAAUCAGAAAGCCACGGCUAACUACGUG